GCAUAUCAAUAAGCGGAGGAAAAGAAACUAACAAGGAUUCCCCUAGUAGCGGCGAGCGAAGCGGGAAGAGCUCAAAUUUAUAAUCUGGCACUUUCAGUGUCCGAGUUGUAAUCUCUAGAAGUGUUUUCCGCGUUGGACCGCACACAAGUCUGUUGGAAUACAGCGGCACAGUGGUGACACCCCCGUACACGGUGCGGACGCCCAGCGCUUUGUGAUACACUUUCGAAGAGUCGAGUUGUUUGGGAAUGCAGCUCAAAUUGGGUGGUAAAUUCCAUCUAAAGCUAAAUAUUGGCGAGAGACCGAUAGCGAACAAGUACCGUGAGGGAAAGAUGAAAAGCACUUUGGAAAGAGAGUUAACAGUACGUGAAAUUGUUGGAAGGGAAACGCUUGAAGUCAGACUUGCUUGCCGGAGCUUGCUUCGGUUUGCAGGCCAGCAUCAGUUUUCCGGGGUGGAUAAUGGCGGUUAGAAGGUAGCAGCUUCAGCUGUGUUAUAGCUUUCCGCUGGAUACAUCCUGGGGGACUGAGGAACGCAGCGUGCUUUUAGCGGGGGUUUCGACCUCUUCACGCUUAGGAUGCUGGUGUAAUGGCUUUAAACGACCCGUCUUGAAACACGGACC
rnacentral:rRNA from 2 species